GCGCCCGAUUCCAACUCGUGAAUGAAUUGUUCUUUUGAGUCGAAUCUUUUCUAUGAAUCACUAUGAGCCGAGAAGCGACGGGUGAGUCGACGCUUGUUUGCAGUGACGGUGCGAAAACGAAUAGCAGAAAUUAAACGCACCGAAAAAAUGUUUCUUUUUUGAUGAUCCACCUCCGGAGUGUUCUGUCUGAGGUCAGCUUUACUCAGCCAGCUGGAACAGCUGUCCCGGCAUUUGUUUCACCAGAGAAACACUGAUCGCCUCAGAUGUACCUUGCAGGUCCUGUCAGCUCUGUGGCGCUUCCCGGUUUGUGCCUUCAGCGUCGACGGUCCAGAGGUCUCUUAAUAUACGAGCGUGUGCUGUUUAAUGAAAGCCGUGUGCGAUGCCUCCCAUGCUGUGAUUGCUCAGCAGGACUCCAGGGCUCACCUAUCAUGCUCCCAAGUCUGUUGUUCUUGGGAAAUCAACAUCUGAGAGGUGCAAGGAUUUCACCCAGAGAUUUAUGCAUCGCUGGCUACUCAUUCAGCAUGUGUAUGCAUUUCUAAAUGUAUUGCUUAUCGACCAGUGUAAAAGCAGACUUGAAUGGAAUGCAUAGUAUUUAUAAUGCAUCGCAGAAUUUUAACAAGCUGUUCUAUUACCAAAAGGAUUGAAUAUGUUAUAAACAGAAGAUAGUUUGGAAUUAAUGGCCUCAAGCUUUUUUUUAACAACAAUAAAUUUGAGAAGUUAUUCAUUUAGUGUGAUUGUAAACAAAGCAGCCAUGUUUAAAGUUCUAUGUGAAGGUUAUUGCCAGCAUAAGCAGUGGGCAGAUGGGAUCUAGCCAUUAAUGAACCAUUACUGAUUAAAGCCCUCACCAGCAGAAUUUAUCGCUUUAAUCAUUGACAGUCUUUACUCUAAAAAUUAAUUAAGGCAGAGAGAGGGAUUCCUGUCAGCUGGUCUUUAGCAAACUAAAUGCUCUCCAUAUGUAAUUCUGAUAUUUGUGUAUUAAUUUAGAUUCCAACUCGUAUACAUGUUCAGUACAAAGGGCACUUCAGAUAUGGAAGAAAUUAUAUUUCACUUCAUACUG